rnacentral:rRNA from 1 species
UACGGGGGGCGCAAGCGUUGCUCGGAAUCACUGGGCGUAAAGCGUACGCAGGCGGCACGUUAAGUCGGGUGUGAAAGCCCGGGGCUCAACCCCCGGAAUUGCAUUCGAUACUGGCGCGCUUGAAUACGGAAGAGGGUAGCGGAAUUCCUGGUGUAGAGGUGAAAUUCGUAGAUAUCAGGAGGAACAUCAGUGGCGAAAGCGGCUACCUGGUCCGAUAUUGACGGCUCAUGUACGAAAGCGUGGGGAGCAAACAGG